UACGGGGGGGGCAAGCGUUGUUCGGAAUUACUGGGCGUAAAGGGCUCGUAGGCGGCCAACUAAGUCGGACGUGAAAUCCCCCGGCUCAACCGGGGAACUGCGUCCGAUACUGGAUGGCUUGAAUCCGGGAGAGGGAUGCGGAAUUCCAGGUGUAGCGGUGAAAUGCGUAGAUAUCUGGAGGAACACCGGUGGCGAAGGCGGCAUCCUGGACCGGUAUUGACGCUGAGGAGCGAAAGCCAGGGUAGCAAAC
rnacentral:rRNA from 1 species